GCCCCGGUAGCUUUAGCCUGGUUAGAUACUUGGAGAUCAGGUAGCAGAGAGCGUUGGCUUGGUAAGCCAAAGGUCGCGGGUUCGAAUCCCGCCCGGGGCU
rnacentral:tRNA from 1 species